rnacentral:rRNA from 1 species
CCUACGGGGGGCUGCAGUGGGGAAUAUUGGACAAUGGGCGAAAGCCUGAUCCAGCCAUGCCGCGUGUGUGAAGAAGGCCUUCGGGUUGUAAAGCACUUUCAGUGGGGAAGAAAGCCUUGGGGCUAAUACCCUCGAGGAAGGACAUCACCCACAGAAGAAGCACCGGCUAACUCCGUGCCAGCAGCCGCGGUAAUACGGAGGGUGCGAGCGUUAAUCGGAAUUACUGGGCGUAAAGCGCGCGUAGGCGGUCUGAUAAGCCGGUUGUGAAAGCCCCGGGCUCAACCUGGGAACGGCAUCCGGAACUGUCAGGCUAGAGUGCAGGAGAGGAAGGUAGAAUUCCCGGUGUAGCGGUGAAAUGCGUAGAGAUCGGGAGGAAUACCAGUGGCGAAGGCGGCCUUCUGGGCUGACACUGACGCUGAGGUGCGAAAGCGUGGGUAGCAAACAGGAUUAGAUACCCCGGUAGUC